rnacentral:lncRNA from 1 species
UCACACCGCCCUGAGGACAGUUUUACAAAAUGUGAGGCCAAACCAGAGUUUUUUUGCCCUGUGGAGACACUAAACCCAAUAUAACAACACUGACAAUAAAAGAACAAAACAGCUGUUUGCACAGGAUGGAAAAGUGGUCUUCAUUUCAUCUCCUCCCCUCUUCAAAGCUGCCCAAGGCCUGAAAAAUCAAGUCUGUGCUCCACCUGGCAGAAAAUUGGGAUUGUUGACAUUUUCUAAGAACUUUUAAUUUUCUUUACUUCUUGGCCCAAUUUUGUAGAACUGUGACCUCUUUUGAAACCUAAAAAUAAGAAAAAAGAACAACUCAAGUUCAAAGAGUGAAGCAGACACUUUUAACAUUUUUUACUGUUUGGUGAAGGUGAUGUUUUAAGUUCAUUGUCCCUGAAAUUAUACGAUUUUUGUUCCACUCUCUAAAUUGUCAUCUCAGAUUUUGAUGCUUCAAAUAAUACCAACAUUACCAGUAAAUCAAUGGCUCUAGCAAGUGGGGGAAUUGGCAGAAGAAACAAAAGGUGAGAGGUGGUAGCUACACCCAUAAUAAAGCUGUCUCAUCAGAUAACAUUUUUUUUUUGUAUUGGGAAAAAUAUCAUAAAUUAUUAUCUCUAUGCCCAAAGAAAAAGAAAAGCUACAGUUUUACUAAGAAGUUUUUAUCUUGUUUGGGUGUAGCAGCUUCUUGACAUUUGUCACUUGAACGUUUUAUGGUUCUUUGAAGUAAUGAUAUUUUUUAGAAAUAAGGUUGAUCUUUACAUGGUACCAAGGCCUACAUGCUCCAUGCUCCAGAAGAGAUAAUCAGUCAUUAUAUAUAAAUUAAUUGAUCCUGAAACAUCUUGGUACCUUCUGUCUCUUAUAUAGGGUGGAUAAUGUUAACAUUAUUGCUUAGAAACAUAUGAUCAUGGGAGAUAGUUUUUAGACUAUUUACAGGAGCCCAUAUCACUUCACUUCCCUGUUUUCCGUGGCAGUGAUAGGUAUUAUUAGGGAAAGGAAAAUUCUCUCUUGAGUUGUAUACCUAAAAGGAAGAAUCAACAUGGGGAAAGUCGCUAGAGAGAGUCACCCAUAAAACAGCAACGCCAAGUCUUCUACUUGAGAAUGUUAAUUUUUUGUUGUUGUUGUUUGACUUCUGAAACCAUCAUGUAAGUUUGGUCUACAGCUUCAGAAGGUCAUGCAUUUCCUGUUCUUGGAGAGGUAUAUUUUUUUGCAGCUUAAAUAUUUACCGUGACUAUAGUGUGUGCAAAAUUAAAAAGCUAUACACUGUCUUUCAAUCUUUUCAUUUUGAUUUUAUGAUUAAAAGACUGUUUUUAGAAAAGAAGAAUUUCUGAGGUGUUAUUUUUUAUGUAUAAAUAAAGAUGCAUCUAUAUCUGAA